rnacentral:rRNA from 1 species
GAGAGCUUGCUCUCGGGUGACGAGUGGCGGACGGGUGAGUAAUGUCUGGGAAACUGCCUGAUGGAGGGGGAUAACUACUGGAAACGGUAGCUAAUACCGCAUAACGUCGCAAGACCAAAGAGGGGGACCUUCGGGCCUCUUGCCAUCAGAUGUGCCCAGAUGGGAUUAGCUAGUAGGUGGGGUAACGGCUCACCUAGGCGACGAUCCCUAGCUGGUCUGAGAGGAUGACCAGCCACACUGGAACUGAGACACGGUCCAGACUCCUACGGGAGGCAGCAGUGGGGAAAUAUUGCACAAUGGGCGCAAGC